GCAGGAUCAACCAGGUAGCACUCCUCGUUCGACACCGGCACGCAUGAGCCCUCCCUUUUGACGAGGAGGGUCAACUCGUGCGCGGACGUCGUCCGUGCUUAGCGUAAAAACGCUUAACUAGGUAUGCGACGAAUGAACGCCCAUUCCCCCUCAACAUUCUGCAUCCCGGGGCACAACUAGGAUCCGUACACCUGACCAACAACGCUUGGUUUUCGCCAUUGAGGUAGGAGGACGGGCCCAGCUACACAGGUCCACCGAACACCCCGAAGGAUGUCUGACGGAAUCAAACGAUUAUAAUGGACAACAAUACCGUCAUUAGGAAUAAAACACAGAAAACCGUACCUCGCCCAAGGCUUAUUGCACUUGGAGCAAACACUGAAGAGGUUUAUCAGCGUGCGGUUCGAUGCACAAGCAUGGAGCCCGCCAGCCAAAAAAACCAAUCACCACUCACACGUG
rnacentral:misc_RNA from 1 species